GAUGCGCAUGAUGCAGCAGGGUCGGCAUCCGUCCAUGGGAAGCAGGAAGGGUAGCUGGAGCCGGAAAAGGACAUCGAUCGAAGACUGCAUUGUUGGGUCAUGCGUUGCUUUCCGGACAAAAUCUCCUUUUGGAUUCAUGAGUUGAUGACAGCUUAGCCACAUUGAAUCGUCAGAUGGAUAUAAUACAAGAUCUUGCGUUUAGGUUACUGCACUCACCGUGCAUGAGCACGAAGCCCACACGCCUCUGCUUCAGUGAGAAUAUAGUACUGCAGUAAUCAUCAGUAUGUGUGGCCUACGCAUGAUGGAGGUUUGCAGGGCCGCAAGAGCGCGAGAGAACGACGCUGAGGGCUGCGCUUCCAUGGCCAACACGCGACGUUGCCUUCGACUGUACGAUUCCAUUUGGCAGCGCUCCUCCAUGUGACGUCUCGAAUGGCUUCUCGUUCCCUGUUGCUUCUCUCACGAGGCCUGUGGACAACAGUACGCUCUUGUGACCCAUUCAUGCCGUGCUCGCUGUACACGGAGCUGCCGAGGGUCGAUUGUGUGAUGGAACUGUGCCUGUGAACUCUGCGCAUCUACCUGAGGCUAACGAAGGGAUGAGAUGGCGGAUUGUUUGAUGGACCUGUGCCUGUGAACCCUGCGCAUCUACCCGAGGCUAGGGAAGGGAUGAGAGAGAGGGGGAGAAGACAAAGGCAUCCCAUCAAGACAGUCCUUUCAUCUCAUGGAGCGGUAGAUGGUGAAGGCUGCCGUGUAAUGUAUAGCUCAAGAACACAAGCUGCCAAGGAUCAUGUGAGGUGAGAAGAGAGAGAGAGAGAGAGAGAGAGAGAGAGAGGAAUGCGUUUCAAAUGCAACAAAACCAAAAACUCAUCUACCUUUGACAACCAGAACAAGAAUGACAACGAGGGUGCAUGAUCUCUACUCCAACCACUGGGUUCCAUCCUUGUUCUAACAUCAUCAACAAAGCUUGAAGCAGCUAGAAACGGGGAUUUGGAUCCCAUCCAGCUUACGAUUCACGCUGGUCUCCAUCUGAUGCUGGAGUUCGACCUUAAAUGUGGGUCCCACAUCAACGGAGGGUUCCGAUGCGGGGAGUCUGUGGAUCGAGACUCGUGGCUUCUGGAGAGGAUCCACUUCGAUUCGGCGACGGUAUAUCUCCGGCAGCGGGCGCGCGGGCGGGCGGCCGACGCGACGGUGAGUGGCCGCUCGGCUGCCGGCAGCAAGACGGAGGUCGGUGGCGGUAGCGUGUCGAGAUCUUUAUGCCGAUAGACUGAUGGCUUGAUUCCUGGGGCGGAAGACCACUGGUGCGAGGCAUCUCUGGCCCUCGGAAGACGCCCGAAACCACGAAACGGGCCGCCGCCUCUUCUCCGAUUCCAUGAGCCCAGUCCCGCUUCAAGGGACUGCAUAUGUUUCUCAUUAGCACCAACAUUCGUUUGAUGUGAAAUACAGAAAAGAACCAAACAAACUGUUGAUAUGCAAAUGCAGCAAUAUUUAUAGAGAGAAGGAAAUUUUACCAAUGGAGUUCUUCCUUUGGAGUCACCAAUAUCAGGAUCCAUUCCUGCUUUGAGGAGUUUGUCAAGGAAGCAACUAUUUCCUGUAGCAGCUACUGUGAGUAGAUUGCACGAACUUCUUUCAGGGUGCUCUGCUUCAACUUUAACAGCUGAGACAAUGUUCUAGUGCGGAAUAUAAA